rnacentral:rRNA from 1 species
UACGGGGGGGAGCAAGCGUUGUUCGGAUUUACUGGGCGUAAAGGGCUCGUAGGCGGCCAACUAAGUCAGACGUGAAAUCCCUCGGCUUAACCGGGGAACUGCGUCUGAUACUGGAUGGCUUGAAUCCGGGAGAGGGAUGCGGAAUUCCAGGUGUAGCGGUGAAAUGCGUAGAUAUCUGGAGGAACACCGGUGGCGAAGGCGGCAUCCUGGACCGGCAUUGACGCUGAGGAGCGAAAGCCAGGGGAGCAAACGGG